CCAGCGGUGCAUGCCGGAAGGACAUCA
rnacentral:rRNA from 1 species